ACCUCAUAGCUCAGUUGGUUAAUGGUAGAGCAUUGGACUAGUAUUCCAAAGUUCACGGGUUCGAUUCCCACUGUGGUCA